rnacentral:rRNA from 1 species
AUUUCCAAUAAUUUAGUUAAUACUAAUUCACGAAGGGCAUGGAGCUAAUUACAUUAUAGAAUUAGCUAUUAAAUUAUAUGUGGCAACAUAUAAAGAAUAGGUGUAAUUAGGGGUGACAGGCUUAUCAACGUGUUAGAUAUCUUGAUCUACAGGAAAAAUAUUAAGUAUUUAGCUAAACUAGAAAUGGUUAGGUUUCUAGUUCACAUUAAAAGAAAUCUUAGUGGUACAGUUUAUGUAAUAAUUACUGUUUUUAUUAUAUUAUAAUAUUAUAUUAACAUUUUAUGCAAAUAUACUGUAGGGCUUUACUUAUUUAUUUGAAGGUUUCUUAAUGGAAAUAUUAGUAUUAAUUAUUAAAUUAUAGUAAGGAACUCGGCAAAUUUUUUGCUCAACUGUUUAACAAAAACAUAGCUAGAUGAUGUCAUAUUUAGUUUUUUCUGCUCAGUGAUUAAGUUAAAUAGCCGCAGUA